rnacentral:rRNA from 1 species
GACGAACGCUGGCGGCGUGCCUAAUACAUGCAAGUAGGACGCAGUUGCGAACGGGUGAGUAACGCGUAGGUAACUGACUAUUAGAGGGGGAUAACUAUUGGAAACGAUAGCUAAUACCGCAUACUAGUAGAUGGACCUGUGUUGUAUUAGCUAGUAGGUGGGGUAAUGGCCUACCUAGGCGACGAUACAUAGCCGACCGGGGAGGGUGGUUGGCCACCCUGGGACUGAGACACGGCCCAGACUCCUUCGGGUGGCAGCAGUAGGGAAUCUGCGGCAAUGGGGGGAAACCUGACCGAGCAACGCCGCGCGAGUGAAGAAGGUUUUCGGAUCGUAAAGCUCGGUUGUUGAGGAAGCGGUACUUACCCAGAAAGGGCCGGCUAACUACGUGCCAGCAGCCGCGGUAAUAC